rnacentral:antisense_RNA from 1 species
UUCUGCGGCGGGCGGUGCGUGGGGAUCCUCCCGAUCCGCCGGCUUCGUUUCCUUUCGGUAGCUUCACCGGCACGCCAACCCGCACCGCCCGCCACCUUG